GUAGGGAAUUAUUCUGUCACUCCCUAUAUCGAUCGUCAUAUAGCACAUACAGUAUGAUAUGUUCGUCACAACAUAGCUCCCACUAAGUUGGGUGAUGCAAACAAGGCUAAAAACACUCAAGAUACUCAAAGAGUAUCAGAAGGUGACUUGGAGCAAAUUUUAAAUGAUGUAAACACAAAUACAGUUCCAAACCUGGAAAGUUUUAGCGGACCAGUAACAAGAUCAAC
rnacentral:lncRNA from 1 species